UACGGGGGGAGCAAGCGUUGUUCGGAUUUACUGGGCGUAAAGGGCGCGUAGGCGGCCACCGCAAGUCGGUUGUGAAAUCUCUGGGCUUAACCCAGAAAGGUCAACCGACACUGCGGGGCUAGAGUGCAGAAGGGGCAACUGGAAUUCUCGGUGUAGCGGUGAAAUGCGUAGAUAUCGAGAGGAACACCUGCGGCGAAGGCGGGUUGCUGGGCUGACACUGACGCUGAGGCGCGAAAGCUAGGGGAGCGAACGGG
rnacentral:rRNA from 1 species